GUAGUCAUAUGCUUGUCUCAAAGAUUAAGCCAUGCAUGUCUAAGUACAUACCUUUGCACGGUGAAACCGCGAAUGGCUCAUUAAAUCAGUUAUGGUUCCUUAGAUCGUUCAUAUUACAUGGAUAACUGUGGUAAUUCUAGGGCUAAUACAUGCAAAAAGCUCCGACCGUAUGGGAAGAGCGCUCUUAUUAGACCAAAACCAAUGGGGUCGCAAGAUCCCUUUGUAUGGUGACUCUGGAUAACUUUGUGCCGAUCGCAUGGCCUCGAGCCGGCGACGUAUCUUUCAAAUGUCUGCCCUAUCAACUUUCGAUGGUAAGCGAUUUGCCUACCAUGGUUGCAACGGGUAACGGGGAAU
rnacentral:rRNA from 1 species